GAUGAACGCUGGCGGCGUGCCUAAUACAUGCAAGUCGAGCGAACAGACGAGGAGCUUACUCCUCUGACGUUAGCGGCGGACGGGUGAGUAACACGUGGAUAACCUACCUAUAAGACUGGGAUAACUUCGGGAAACCGGAGCUAAUACCGGAUAACAUGUUGAACCGCAUGGUUCAACAGUGAAAGACGGUCUUGCUGUCACUUAUAGAUGGAUCCGCGUCGCAUUAGCUAGUUGGUAAGGUAACGGCUUACCAAGGCAACGAUGCGUAGCCGACCUGAGAGGGGGAUCGGCCACACUGGAGGUGAGACACGGUCCAGACUCCUACGGGAGGCAGCAGUAGGGAAUCUUCCGCAAUGGGCGAAAGCCUGACGGAGCAACGCCGCGUGAGUGAAGAAGGUCUUCGGAUCGUAAAACUCUGUUAUUAGGGAAGAACAAAUGUGUAAGUAACUAUGCACGUCUUGACGGUACCUAAUCAGAAAGCCACGGCUAACUACGUG
rnacentral:rRNA from 1 species